UACGUAGGGUGCAAGCGUUGUCCGGAAUUAUUGGGCGUAAAGAGCUCGUAGGCGGUCUGUCGCGUCUGCUGUGAAAACUCGGGGCUUAACCCCGGGCCUGCAGUGGGUACGGGCAGACUAGAGUGCGGUAGGGGAGACUGGAAUUCCUGGUGUAGCGGUGAAAUGCGCAGAUAUCAGGAGGAAUACCGGUGGCGAAGGCGGCAUCCUGGACCGACAUUGACGCUGAUGAGCGAAAGCUAGGGGAGCAAACGGG
rnacentral:rRNA from 1 species